rnacentral:sRNA from 1 species
CUUUUAACCAAUAGUAUAUCUUAAAAGUUAGUACUGUAUUCCUUUGAUUUAUGCAUUAUUAAUGUUAAGAUUUCUUUUUUUUAGGAUAAAGGAUUUGUAGUUGAAGUAAAUACUACUUUUGAAGAUUUUGUGGCGAUAAUCAGUUCAACUAAAAGAUCAACUACAUUAGAUGCUGGAAAUAUCAAAUUGGCUUUCAAUAGUUUACUAGAAAAGGCAGAAGCCCGUGAACGUGAAAGAGAAAAA